rnacentral:rRNA from 1 species
UACGGAAGGCAGCAGUGGGGAAUAUUGCACAAUGGGCGCAAGCCUGAUGCAGCCAUGCCGCGUGUAUGAAGAAGGCCUUCGGGUUGUAAAGUACUUUCAGUCGUGAGGAAGGUGUUAAGGUUAAUAACCUUAGCAAUUGACGUUAGCGACAGAAGAAGCACCGGCUAACUCCGUGCCAGCAGCCGCGGCAAUACGGAGGGUGCGAGCGUUAAUCGGAAUUACUGGGCGUAAAGGGCACGCAGGCGGUUAAUUAAGUUGGAUGUGAAAUCCCCGGGCUUAACCUGGGAAUGGCAUUCAAGACUGGUUAGCUAGAGUCUUGUAGAGGGGGUAGAAUUCCAUGUGUAGCGGUGAAAUGCGUAGAGAUGUGGAGGAAUACCGGUGGCGAAGGCGGCCCCUGGGACAAAGACUGACGCUCAUGUGCGAAAGCGUGGGGAGCAAACAGGGAUUAGGAUACC